GUCACCUUUUAUGAAAUAUUCCAAGAAAAUGACAACACUGUUUUGAAGUGUAAGUGAAGAACACAUGCUUGUUCUGCUCAGUGACCUCAGAACAUCCUUUACAUACUUGCAAUUUUGUCCUCAUGAGUUCAGUUCAAGAAUUUAGUUCUCACAUGAGGAUUGAUAAUUUUCCCACCUUUUAGGUGUCUUUAGGAAUUUGGUUAUUGCUCAGAUACUCAUUUAGUACAUUGCUACGAGUGACAGACAUCUGCUUCCGAGUGACCAGCAAGUUGACAAGUUUGUGGUGAAAGUUACAACACUUUAAAGGACAUAUAAUCUGCUGUGCUUUUCAAAAUCCCCAAAUAGAAUCAUUGUCCCAGAUCGUGUGUGCCUGCAAGGUUUGUUAUCAAUGUUGCCGUUUGUCUUGGAACCACAGUUUUUUUCCAUGAAAGAAAGCCUGGUUUAGUCAAGAUAAAUGACCAAAACCAUACUAGAUUGCCAGAAUUCUUGAGAAGGCCCAGAUCCUCACCCAUAGCCCAGCAAGGUGCAUAAUACAGCUGCUCUUCCCUGGCUCACCUUCCUCUAUUCCUCUCCUGUAUCCACAGAGCUGAUCAAGGCUGACUGGAAAGUAAUUCUCUGAAGAGGUGGAAGAGCACGAGGCUGCUGUGCACUGGUGUCUGGCUGCUGCCCUGCUGGAGAUCCACGAGCAACAAGAGCACGGCAAGUCCCCUUUCUUCUUCCCUGACAGCACCGCAGUACCUGGAUUUUAAUCAGUCGGUGUCAGGCAGUGGCACAGGCUCUGAGCGCUGCUCGAAGCACAGCACACCACAGACACCUCCCUGCUGUGGUAGCUUAGGUUACCAUUACCAGGCUGAGC